AAGUCGUAACAAGGUUUCCGUAGGUGAACCUGCGGAAGGAUCAUUAGCGUAGUUGUGCAGUGCAAUGGUGACGAAAGUCAUCAUCUACACUCACACACAACACAUCACCUUGUGAACUUGGAUUUGUGUGCUCGGCACGACUGGAGGUCGCAAGGCCGCCAGUCUGUCGUCUUAAACAUUUGACAUUUUGACAUUUUAUACUUCAUUGUAAUGCAGCAGAGGAAACUCUAUGCAGAAUUCUGAACCAUACACACAACUUUUAACAAUGGAUCUCUAGGCUCCU
rnacentral:misc_RNA from 1 species